GGGGCAAGGCUGGAGUGACUCAGGGGCAUCUUUCUCACCAGGACCUCACCACGUUGGAAAUUGAGGUCCACCAACUUGCCUCCACUUUUUCACGAAGCCAUCAGCAGACAAGCCAUGAUGAACUGGGCAUGCUCAUGGAAAAUCCACAGCUGUGAAAGCUAUUUCUGGAGUUCACACUGUCAAGUUCAAAAAUGAACUGGAAACAACCACAGAAUCCACCUUGGGUAGGCUGAGGCCAACAUUUAUAAAUCUGAUGACUCAAGUUGUCCUUGGCCAGAAUGUGCUGCACCCUGUGGAAGCAGGACACCUGAUGCCUUUCCUACAUGCAUUCCAGGGACCUAAGGGAACUUCAAACAAGUCAGAGGUGUUGCGUUUGUUGACUGUCCUGGCCGUGAUGUUUUGAGCUACUAUGCUAACAGGGCCGCAUUGACAGAUGCUGCUCUUCGUUGACAGCUGCUAAUGAACUUUGUACUCAGCCUCAGACUUCUUCUGAACAUCUAGUUGCCAUAAAGAGGGUCUAGCUGGUGAUAGUAUUUGAAAAUGGGUAUUAAAAUUGGGGAGGAGAUUAAAGUCAGACCUGGUAUUGUUCCGAAGGUAGUGAAGGAAAACUCAUGUGUGAACCAAUCUUUUCCAAAAUUGUUUCACUUUUUGCAGAACACAAUGACCUUCAGCAUGCACCUCCAGGGAGUCUUAUCGUAGUUGGAACAAAAAUUGACCCAACAUUGUGCUAACCUGACAUAAUGGUGGGGCAGGUGCUUGGUGCAGUUGGAGUUUUACCUGAGAUCUUCGAACUGGAAAUUACCUAUUUUCUACUUGGACGGCUUCUAGGUGUAUGCAUAGAAGGAGAGACGAGGCCGGGCGAAAGGCAGCAGCUGUCUGAGAACUAAGUGCUCACACGGAACAUAGGAUCUCUAUCCACAGAAGAAAGAGUUAGUGCAGUCAAGGCUGAUGUGGGUAAAAUAGUUCUCACUAAUUCUGUGUACACAGAAGUAGAAGAAAAUAUUGCUUUUAGCCAAAGGGUUGAGAAACACGGGCGUUUCAUUGGUUCAAGUCAGCUAGAAGAGGACUGACCAUC
rnacentral:lncRNA from 10 species